rnacentral:rRNA from 1 species
UUAGAUUUAAGGAGAGCGUAACUUAGUGGCGGACGGGUGAGUAACGCGUGAGGAACCUGCCUUUCAGAGGGGGACAACAGUUGGAAACGACUGCUAAUACCGCAUGAUGCAUAGGGGUCGCAUGAUUCUUAUGCCAAAGAUUUAUCGCUUCAAGAUGGCCUCGCGUCUGAUUAGCUAGUUGGUGAGGUAACGGCCCACCAAGGCGACGAUCAGUAGCCGGACUGAGAGGGUGAACGGCCACAUUGGGACUGAGACACGGCCCAGACUCC